UACGGAAGGGGCUAGCGUUGUUCGGAAUUACUGGGCGUAAAGAGCGCGUAGGCGGCUUACCAAGUUGGGGUGAAAUCCCGGAGCUCAACUCCGGAACUGCCUUCAAAACUGGUAGGCUUGAGUCCGGAAGAGGGGCGUGGAAUUCCCAGUGUAGAGGUGAAAUUCGUAGAUACUGGGAAGAACACCAGUGGCGAAGGCGGCGCCCUGGUCCGGUACUGACGCUGAGGCGCGAAAGCGUGGGGAGCAAACAGG
rnacentral:rRNA from 1 species